rnacentral:rRNA from 1 species
CCUGCCUGAGAGCGCGGAAUAACCCUGCGAAAGCAGAGCUAAUACCGCAUGUGGUUGUUGGAUGGCAUCUUCUAACAACUAAAGUCGCAAGACGCUCUCAGAUGGGCCCGCGGCCUAUUAGCUAGUUGGUGAGGUAACGGCCCACCAAGGCAUUGAUGGGUAGCUGGUCUGAGAGGACGGACAGCCACACUGGGACUGAGACACGGCCCAG